CAUUCUCUGAUUUUCGUCGAUUUCAAGCGAUCCGACUGUUUGAUCUUCGAUCCGACUUCAUUUUUACCAUUAAAGUGCCCCCGAUUUACAAAGAGGCAAAGAACUCCAGGGUUAAGCGUGCUUAACCUGAAAAAAUUCAAGGAUGGGUGACCCCUCUGAAAAGUUUGUAUAGGCCCAUCAAACCUUGGACUGAAACAGAAUCAACCAAG